CUCUAGGGUUGCAACGCCGGCUCCUCCUUUCCCUGCUGCCUGGCUGGCGGGCGGGCGGGGAUCGCCCAGCUGCUUCCCCGCGAUAAGGUGCAGGGUGUGAAAAGCGAGAGGAAUCGGGCCUUGGCUCUCCGCCCCCGCUGUCGGAAGCGGUGACCGCGCAGCCCACCCCUGGGUACGGCAGGGCUAGGGCUCGCCCCCGGGGCCAGCUGCGCAAAGCAGGGGGCGCGGAGCUCCCGCUCCAGGGGCGAGUGCCCACGCAGCAGCGCUGUGACACGCAGGGAGGUCGGGCCCGCAGCUGCCCCCCACCCCGGGGCCUGGCUGGCCGCGCUCAGGCUGGGGCAGGCGUUGUUUUGCGAUCCGGCUUUGCAGCGAGAGGCUGCGCGCCGGGAUCACGCGGAGGGAGGGGGGAGCGAGCUGCGGGCUGUGUGGGCGCGGGGCUGGGAGGGCGGCUCCGCCUGGCUGCCUGCUAAUCGCACGUUUUCCGCUGCUAAAAAGAAACCGAGAGACACCGUGGCCGAGCCGAGCGCUGGCUGUGUGGCUGUGCCAGGAAAAGAUGGCGCUGUCUCCCCUCCCCCCCUCGCUCGCUCGCUCGCUCGGCUUCCUCUUCCUCCCCGCCAGGCCAGCUGAGCCGGGCAGGUUUCCGAGCCCCCUUGGUCGGCCGGACCCCACUAGCCUCCCAGCCGCGCGGCGCGUCCCCGCCUUUCCCAGCCCGGUAUUGGCGGGUCCCCUUUUCUCUGCAAGGCUCGCCUUUGUCUGGCGCGGCUGCUCUCUGGCCGGGGAGGCAGUUUGGACCGGGGGGGGGGACUCCCCCCGCAGCUUCUUCCCUCCCCCCAUUUCCUUCCUCUCCCCACGGGCAACAGGGAAGGGGAACCUUUGGCGGGGGAUCUGGCUGGGUCUGAGACACAACGUGACCUCGCUGGGCUCCAGCUGGCUGCUGCUGCUGCCCUGGGCUUUGGGCCAGACAAUGUCCACAGGCUUCAGAAGAAGAUAGACUGUUCCUCAAAAUGGUGUACAUCUGAUCUCCAUGCUUCUUCCCUUCUGUUUUCUCCCUAUACUGUGAGAUCAGACCACUUCAGCAUGAGGGUAGGUGGGGCCUCAAGUGGAGGAAACAAUGGGCUGGGCUGGGAGGAGUGGGCAGAAGAAUCAGAGAAAGGGGAAGGAGAUAAGAAGCACAUGUUCCUUGGUGUGGGGAUGACUGCAGAGUGUCUGUCUUCAUCUGAAACUCCUGACUGGAUCUGGCAUUAAAAUGAAGGUAAUAGCCCACAGUUCCCUGCACAGAUCUCAGAAGAACCUCAAGGGAGAUUUGAAAAUGCCACCAGGGUAUCAUGGGACAGUAGUGGAGGACUAUAUGAACCACUCCAUUCUGAACCAUUGUAGUACAAUCUGCACUGGCAUUAAACCAGUGCGGGCUGAACUGGAUCAGAUUGAACUGGCACCCUGUUGAAAGCAUGUUUAAUCCAGGGAUUUGGAGCUGUGCUCCAGCUCCGCUCCAGCUCCAGGCAAAAACCUGCAGCUCCACUGCUCUGGAGCUGCUCCGUGCUCCAGCUCCGGGCUCUGCUCCAAAGCCCUGGUUUAAUCCAUCUAAAGCAUGCAUAUAAACCAGGUGGAUCUGAUGUGUUUUACAAGUGUGCUAAAAGGACCAGGUGAUUCUUGGCAAGGUAAAUUUCUCUAGAGUAGUCAAGGCCCAAACUCGUGGUAUAGGCUAGGGUAGUUAGGUUGGACUGUGAAGGCCGGGGCAAGAAUUUUGAAAAUUUUCUGCCUCUUAGUCUGCCAUUUUCUUUCUAAAUGCUACUUCUUUAUGAUAAUCAUCAUAUUUAAAAAGAAAAUAGACAAUUUUUAUUGUAUUGGUGCAACCCUAGUUAUUUCUGAUGAUGUUGAAUGUCCAUGGCAAAAUAACAGCUCUCUUCAGGAGGCCAGCACAAGGUGCGUAGACCGUAGAGGUGAAUUUCAGCUGUAGCCCUUUUCAUUACUCAAAUGUUCAGCUACUGUCUUAUCAGUGAACACUGAGACUUGGAGUGGACACUGCCGAGAACAAGAAAGAGGGGCGCUGUCUUCUACCAUCUUGAAGAAGGUUCACUGCUAGGGACUUGCUCUGUUGCUCGUUUACUCUACCUCCAGAUUCUUCAUGUGCUCCCUUGCUCACGGGUGUGUGUUCUCACACUCUAAUAUACACAAUCUAUUUCCGUGUCAACAUACACACGUUUGUUUCCAUGUCAUAGAUUACAUUACAUUUUAUCCCAGAUAAAGUUGUUUUAACACCUUUUUUGUGUUUAUGGCUCUAUCUUAAAUUGAUGCACAUAGUCUCUUCCAGUCAGUGGCAGCAACAUAUGAUCAAGGAUCAACUGUUCUUGCAACCCUUUCAGUUACAUUGCACACCUGGUCUUUGUGCUUUGGACAAAGUCAGUUUUCUCUCCCAUUACAGCUAUUUCUACAGCUCUGGCACAAGACACAUCUGUGGCACAAGCGCUAACCUGGGGUGCAACGAGGGCCCUUGAGUCAUUUGUCUCUUAGCCAGCGCUGUCUGUUCUGCUCUGCUGAGGAUGACCCACUCUUGCUAGGUGUUCUUAAGCAAUGUACAGAGAUAUGGGGCUGGAUAUAGAUUUUUGCCUCUCUCUCUGCUGGCUUAGGUUUAGUAGCUGUACUCAUAAGGCCCUUUUGUUUGUUCGUUUGCAAGGAUUUGUCAAUGGCUGAUGUCUUCCUUGCCUCCAACCGAUAAAUACCCUCCAUUCUUUAAACGGGACCCUCUGUUAUAUAGGUAGCCUCCUAUGAAGAGGCAGGGAUUUCUCCCCUUCCUACAAAAGGGCUCUGAAACACAGGGAGGAGAGAAUCCCCCUCGCAGCACGGUAACUGCUGGGGUGCCAGCCGGUAGAGAAUGUUGUCCAUUCGCAGCUAAUGAUCGCCCCAGGCACUUGGUGAUGGAAAAUCCGGGAAGGCUGCAGAACUUGCACAGCGCUGCCCAAAAUAAUUGUACGGACCAGUUCCACGUGUCCAAUUUGUGCAAGAACGUUCUCUCGCCCCCCCCAGCCCCCCCUCCCCCCGCCAGGAGAGUUUUUAAUGCCUUUAUGUGGUUCAGCAAAACUAGGAAUUUUAAACAGGAUUAUUUGUAACAAGUGCGAAGCUAACCAGCGAGCUCCUCCAAUGUGCUAGGCAGGCAUGAGAAGUCACUUUGCAAGGAACAGAUAAUUCACACGUUCUGCGCUUUCCCCCUGAACCUUCGCAUAUGGAAAGAGAGAGGAGCGCGGAUAAAACUGUAAUCGACGGAAAGACGGGAGCCGGGAGCGACGUUAGCAGGAACACUUGGGUGCCAGACAAAAAGGCUGAGGGCAACUCUCUGACGAUGUUCAAGUGAAAUCAUAAGGCUAAAUCUUGCCCGCGUUACUGCAGCCAAUGUGAUUCUUUGCAGUGCUGGAGCCAGCUGAAUUUGGCCCUGAGUCUAUUUCCCCCGAUAUUUUUCUUCUGUCCAGUUUCUUUAAGCCUCAGCAAGUUAACAUUACAAAUUAGAAGACCCACCCCCCACCCUAUAGCACUUUCCUGAAAUGAUCCAGUGGCCUAGUUUUUUUCCAUCAUAAUCCUUAAAACCAUUAGAUUUUCAGUGAUGCCCUAUCGAGAUAAUCAAUCAACAACCAGAGAAGUCCGGUUUGUGGCCAUUAUAUCUGCUUGCCUGAGUUUCAUAGCAAUAAGCCGCCGAAGGAACAUGCUGUUAUCCUUUGAUGUGUGACACUGUCUAUGAGAGAAGCCAAACUACUGUCUGUGCAUGGAGUCUUUUCAAAGGAAGCGUUUUGAUUGUACUAGUUCCUUAUUUAGGUAGCUAAGAGGAGGAAGUAGCAAGCUUGGGCUACCUCAGAGGUGUUUAUUUUAAUUAUCUUUUGGCUGUAACUUCCAUCCUUCUUCUUUGUAUUAUCGCUGCUAAAGUUUAUUUGCAGAACUAACUCGAAUUAUUUUUUGUUUUUGUUCUCCACCGUGUGCUUGUGUUACUUUUGUACCAUGUGCCUUUGUCAGUGACCACCCCCCCAUUGCUGUAUUUACUUUAGCUCAAAUUAAUUCUUAGUUCAAGAGGACAGUGUGUACAUUAACCCUCUGGGUGUUUGUCUUUUUUUUUUUUAGCCGGAAGACCCUUCUGAUCAUGUAGAAAUUCACAGAUGUUUAGGUCAGAGUGACCAUUCAGUCUGACUCGUAUCCACAAGCUGAUUUCACCAAGUGAUUUCUGCAACCAGUUCAACACUCUGUAGUCAGAUGGGGUCUGAUUCUCCUCUCACAGAGAUCUAAAUCCGAGUGACAUCAUUCAAGGCAAUGGAGUCACUCCAGUGUAGAAAUUGGUGUGAAGAGACUCAGGCCUUCAGUCUCACAGGAACUCCUCUCCAGUUUGGCUAGUUUAAAUUCUACAUGAGGUUGAGAACGUUUACAGAUUUGAAACAGCUGCUGGUCUUGCUUUGGCUUGCCUGCUAAAAUAUGCCGAUCUCCUUUUAAUCUGUUUCAUAUUCACAAAUUAAGCACUUAGUUUAGGCAAUAAAUCAUUAGGCAGUUUACGAGACUAGCAUGAGACAAACAAGUGAAAAGGGAAAACAAUCACCUACAAGUAUAUUAAAGGUAACUGGAAAGACGCGUUUGGAAAACCCUGCCUGCAUUCCCGUGGGUAUAUAAUGCACAGAGCAAAUCCUGUAAAUUCUGACAUCCUGCCAAGAAACACUUUCCCGCGCCCCUUGGACGGCGCUCGUCCUAAGAAAACUGCAAGCAAAGAAAAUGUGGCUGUUCCAGACAGUUGUCCCCCGCUUCACGCAGGCUCCAUAAAUUUAGAAGAUUCCAGUCUCCUGCUUUGUUUGCUCAGGUAUUGUCUCCCCGGGAUUGUUAUACCUGAAAUGUGCUAUCCAAGCAGCAGGCUGGAAACAAUGACUCACUCGAAAUGCGCAGAUAACCUUGCAUGACACAUUCAGAUCAGACCGGCCUAUUCGUUUUUUUCUUCUCUGCAAAAGUGCAGAUUUUUCUCAAGAUUUCACGACAUUGCUGCAUAUUCCCCUCCGUGGUUUGCAUCCGAGGCGCUUCCUGAUGCCCAGGGACCCCUGUGCAGCAAUUGUCGAAUCGAUUAGCUCCACUCUUAAAGGAACCCGAGAGGAGACAGAAACCGAAGAGCGAAUUUCUCUCCGGAAAGAGACCUCCUUUUGAGCCUGCUUGCCGGGAUCGCAGCGCGUCUUCUGGACUUCUCAAAGUUCCCUGCGCAGGAAAAGCCUCGAGGCAGAGAUGUGGCUUACUCCGGGAGCCAGCCUCACGUUUGGCUGCCUGGCCACAACACAAAGGCUGCCAGGAAAUGUGCUGGGAGGAGGACUUGGAAGCAGCACAAACCAGGAAAGGGGUCAGAUUUUCACCUCAGUACAUUUGCUUCCAUUAUCCGAUUCAACCCCGCACUGUACAGACUGGGGCGCCCCUUUUACACCCCAACAUUGUGUAGAAAGACGGGAUCUCAAGCCGAAAGGCAGCCUCGGAUGGUGAGUGCGAUCUCCUACAGGCUGCGUGAUUUCCCGAACCGCAGAACAGACCCUCCCCUCCAAGGGGAGUCCGGGCAGCCUGCUUUGCCUGGCCAAGGUGAGGAGCUGUCAGGCUCUAGUUUACCUGAGCCAGAAUCCGGCAUGGGGAGAGAUGCGCACUAGGCCGGGCUCAGCCUCGCUCCAUUUCCACGUAACCCCGUGGUCUCCCCCCCGACGCCGACGGCAAAUGUGAGGGGCAGGCGCCCAGCACCAUUCAGUUUGGAAAGCUGAAAGCUGAUUGCCCUUUGCAAUCAAAUACGUGCCUGAGCUGUCCGCCCGCAGUACCUCCAGGGUUUGCGUGGACCUGUGACUUACUCCUAAUCAGCCGGUUUCAAGGUGUGAACAAGUCUAAUCCUAUGUACCUAUCUGAGCCACCUGAAAGAACAACCCCCUCCCCCACCGCCAGAGCCACGAGAACAGCCUCCUGUCAUACUUUUUCAAUAUUUACGCCAUCGUCCCAGGGUAACGCUAUCCGUCUAGCUCAAGGACGGGUAUUUCCAGAAAUCUGCCACUGACCAGGGAUCCCUGCCCUUCGGCCCCAGACAAAAGACCAGUGGCAACACUCUGGUUCUGAAACUAUUUCAACAGAGACCUGGGGGUUUUUUUUGUUUGUUUGGUUUUUUUUUUUUUUUUUUUAAGGGCUCCGUGCUGGGUUAGCCUUUUAACCCCGCAUUUCCUAGUUCAAUCCGGACUCCAGCACGCCAAGCACUCCGAAGGCAAAUACUGUACAUGGUUCCCAGCCCCGACGGAAAAACAUUAAAGGGAGGGAUGAAGAGAUCCGGGGGGGGAGGGGGGGUCGGCACAACAGAGAGGGAGCGGGAGGGGAGAGAAUGGCGAUUUAAAGGGACUCACAUGAAAGAGAGCAACACAGACCUGUGAGCGUCCGCCGUGUGAAAUUCGAUGAGAUCUCUUCGCGGAGAGGCGCUGUCACAGACUAUUUAUCUCUCGCCAGAGUGGAGGCUCCGGUUCCCACAUCGCCUGUGAGUAACAAUGGCAGCGAUCGGCAGCUUUUCACGCGCUUCACUGAAUGAAUGGAUUGCGGAAGAUGCCUGUGCUCCGCUCAGAUGGCUUGACUGAUUCAUCCCUUUCGUACAGCGCCCGCUCGCUCCUGCCUCUCUGCCAAGGGGUCUGACCCGUUGGCCUGAACAACCCCCCGUCCCAAUUUUCCAAUUUCUUUGACUUUGGAAGUCUGCCAGAAAUGUCGGUGUGGCUGAAGCUUGACACAGCGAUCGCAGCCCGGAGUGCUUUCCCCCCCUCACCCGCCUCCACCUCCCAGCCCGAUCGCCUAAAUUAACUUUAAGCUAGUUUGGCCAUUUUUCAGUUUGAAAAGAAGGGGAAAGUGCAGGUCAUUGGAGCAUAUUGGGGAUGGGUGAGGGGUUUUUUUAAUUGGAAACGACAGGUAUUGGGGCUUGGAAAGCAUUUGCUGCACAGUGCACUUGGGCUGCUUUCCCCCCAGGCAUUAUUUCUUUAAUUCGUGUGUUUGUUGUCUGCGUGCACUGGAAAGCGAAGAGUUAUACCGACUGUUUUGUAGUUGGGGGUAUGCAGAACUCAAUGGACAACAAGGGUCUUAGAAGCCCUUCCAAACUUUGUCCUCAAUAUUUCACAAACCAAAGAUUCGACAAUACACACGGACCCACUGUGGUCUAUAGCGAUGGUCCUCGGCUCUAAAAUACGCUUAAUACGCUGUCAAUGUACAAUAAAUAUUUUUUCUUUACAUAACAUUAAUUAGUUGGUGCCUUUAAGGUAAUCUGAGCAUUCAUUUCCUCUGGGAAAUGGGAUCUGACUUAAACCAACUACAUCAAUAAAAGUAAAUUGCUAUGGAGCCCCAUCAUUCCCAUUAAAGGCGGAAGGUACAUGACAAGGUGGGUGAGGUAAUAUCUUGUAUUGGACCAACUUUUGUUGGCGAAAGAGACAAGCUUUGGAGCUUACACAGUGAGGGCAGACAAUGGAAGAUCCCAGCAAUACCUAGGCUCAGAGGACAGUAGAUGAAAUCCUAAACCUCUACCCAGUGGUUAUUAGCUUGGAUGGAUUUAAAAGAGCCCCCCCCUUUAUACUCAGAUUGCAUGUUCAUUUUAUUCACCAUCAAAACUUGGGGUUCCCUUUCUGAGCCCAGCAUAACACUUUCAAACGUCCUGCCCAUUUUCUGCUGAGUUUUAUCAUCCGGUGGGCUUGUGGCUGGCUAAAGCAGUAUAUAGCGAUUAGGCCCCUAUGGUGGGAGUACGAUGAUCAAAUGCUGUCUGUUUAAUUAAACGGAAUCCUCUGUCGA